GAUGAAGAACGUAGUGAAAUGCGAUAAGUAAUGUGAAUUGCAGAAUUCAGUGAAUCAUCGAAUCUUUGAACGCACAUUGCGCCCGCCAGUAUUCUGGCGGGCAUGCCUGUUCGAGCGUCAUUACAACCCUCAGGCCCCCGGGCCUGGCGUUGGGGAUCGGCGGAGCCCCCCGUGGGCACACGCCGUCCCCCAAAUGCAGUGGCGGUCCCGCCGCAGCUUCCAUCGCGUAUUAGCUAACACCUCGCGACUGGAGAGCGGCGCGGCCACGCCGUAAAACACCCAACUCUUCUGAAGUUGACCUCGAAUCAGGUAGGAAUACCCGCUGAACUUAAGCAUAUCAAUAAGCGGAGGA
rnacentral:misc_RNA from 1 species